rnacentral:rRNA from 1 species
GACGAACGCUGGCGGCGUGCCUAACACAUGCAAGUCGAGCGGAGUCGAUCGACGGAAGCCUUCGGGCGGAAGAUGGUUGACUUAGCGGCGGAUGGGUGAGUAACGCGUGGGCAACCUGCCUCGAAGACCGGGAUAACAGCCCGAAAGGGCUGCUAAUACCGGAUGUGGUCAAGGAUCCGCAUGGAUUUUUGAUUAAAGGGGAAACCCGUUUCGAGAUGGGCCCGCGUCCUAUCAGCUAGUUGGUGAGGUAAAAGCUCACCAAGGCGACGACGGGUAGCCGGCCUGAGAGGGUGACCGGCCACACUGGAACUGAGACACGGUCCAGACUCCUACGGGGGCAGCAGUGGGGAAUCUUCCACAAUGGGCGAAAGCCUGAUGGAGCGACGCCGCGUGAGCGAAGAAGGCCUUCGGGUUGUAAAGCUCUGUCUGGAGGGACGAAGGGAAGUGACGGUACCUCCGGAGGAAGCCACGGCUAACUACGUG